rnacentral:rRNA from 1 species
AACGAACGCUGGCGGCAUGCCUAACACAUGCAAGUCGAACGAGACCUUCGGGUCUAGUGGCGCACGGGUGCGUAACGCGUGGGAACCUGCCCUUAGGUUCGGAAUAACUCCCCGAAAGGGGUGCUAAUACCGGAUAAUGUCUUCGGACCAAAGAUUUAUCGCCUUUGGAUGGGCCCGCGUUGGAUUAGCGAGUUGGUAAGGUAAAAGCCUACCAAGGCGACGAUCCGUAGCUGGUCUGAGAGGAUGAUCAGCCACACUGGGACUGAGACACGGCCCAGACUCCUAGGGGAGGCAGCAGUAGGGAAUCGUCAGCAAUGGGCGAAAGCCUGACGGAGCAACGCCGCGUGAGUGAUGAAGGUCUUCGGAUCGUAAAACUCUGUUAUUAGGGAAGAACAAAUGUGUAAGUAACUAUGCACGUCUUGACGGUACCGAAACAGAAAGCCACGGCUAACUACGUG